rnacentral:rRNA from 1 species
AGUGAACGCUGGCGGUAGGCCUAACACAUGCCAGUCGAACGGCAGCACAGUAAGAGCUUGCUCUUACGGGUGGCGAGUGGCGGACGGGUGCGGAAUACAUCGGAAUCUACUUUUUCGUGGGGGAUAACGUAGGGACACUUACGCUAAUACCGCAUACGACCUACGGGUGAAAGCAGGGGAUCUUCGGACCUUGCGCGAUUGAAUGAGCCGAUGUCGGAUUAGCUAGUUGGCGGGGUAAAGGCCCACCAAGGCGACGAUCCGUAGCUGGUCUGAGAGGAUGAUCAGCCACACUGGAACUGAGACACGGUCCAGACUCCUACGGGAGGCAGCAGUGGGGAAUAUUGGACAAUGGGCGCAAGCCUGAUCCAGCCAUGCCGCGUGGGUGAAGAAGGCCUUCGGGUUGUAAAGCCCUUUUGUUGGGAAAGAAAAGCAGCAGGUUAAUACCCCGCUGUUCUGACGGUACCAAAAGAAUAAGCACCGGCUAACUUCGUG